rnacentral:rRNA from 1 species
UCGGGAAUAUUGCGCAAUGGAGGAAACUCUGACGCAGUGACGCCGCGUGCAGGAAGAAGGUUUUCGGAUUGUAAACUGCUUUAGACAGGGAAGAAAGAAAUGACGGUACCUGUAGAAUAAGCUCCGGCUAACUACGUGCCAGCAGCCGCGGUAAUACGUAGGGAGCAAGCGUUAUCCGGAUUUAUUGGGUGUAAAGGGUGCGUAGACGGGUAUACAAGUUAGUAGUGAAAUCCCUCGGCUUAACUGAGGAACUGCUACUAAAACUAUAUAUCUUGAGUACUGGAGGGGAAAGCGGAAUUCCUAGUGUAGCGGUGAAAUGCGUAGAUAUUAGGAAGAACACCGGUGGUGAAGGCGGCUUUCUGGACAGAAACCGACGUUGGGGCACGAAAGUGUGGGGAGCAAACAGGAUUAGAUACC